AGGAAUUGGCGGGGGAGCACCACAAGGGGUGAAGCCUGCGGUUCAAUUGGGGUCAACGCCGGGAACCUUACCGGGAGCGACAGCAGAUUGAAGGUCAAGCUGAAGACUUUACCAGACGAGCUGAGAGGAGGUGCAUGGCCGUCGCCAGCUCGUGCCGUGAGGCGUCCUGUUAAGUCAGGCAACGAGCGAGACCCCUACUUUUAAUUGCUGUCAGGGAUCGCAAGAUUUCUGAGGCUAGUUAGAAGGACUGCCGCCGCUAAGGCGGAGGAAGGAAGGGGCCACGGCAGGUCAGUAUGCCCCGAAUCUUCCGGGCAACACGCGCGCUACAAAGGUCGGGACAAUGGGAUCCGACCCCGAGAGGGGAAGGCAAUCCUGAAACCCGAUCGUAGUCUGGAUCGAGGGCUGUAACUCGCCCUCGUGAAAAUGGAUUCCGUAGUAAUCGCGGGUCAGCAUCCCGCGGUGAAUGUGCCCCUGCUCUUUGCACACACCGCCCGUC
rnacentral:rRNA from 1 species